rnacentral:rRNA from 1 species
ACGGUUGACCUCGGAUCAGGUAGGAAUACCCGCUGAACUU